rnacentral:rRNA from 1 species
CUAACUAGGAUUCCCUCAGUAACGGCGAGUGAAGCGGGACUAGCUCAGGAUGUGAAUCUGCGCUUUUAUGGCGCCGAAUUGUGGUCUGUAGACUUUGACGUUAUCUGCCGGGCCAAGUUCCUUGGAAAAGGACAGCUGAGAGGGUGAAACUCCCGUCCGCCUGGUAGAAUGAGUCUUUGUCAACGAGUCGAGUUGUUUGGGAUUGCAGCUCUAAUUUGGUGGUAAAUUCCAUCUAAAGCUAAAUAUUGGUGGGAGACCGAUAGCGUACAAGUACCGUGAGGGAAAGAUGCAAAGAACUUUGAAAAGAGAGUUAAAGAGUACCUGAAAUUGCUGAAACGGAAGCGAAGGAAACCAGUGUUUGUUGGUUCAUAUUUCCCUGGCCACUUGUGGUUUGGGCGCUGUGAGCUUGCGUGGGUUUGGGUUGGUUGAUCCCUUUGGAAGAGCGCAGUCAGAGUUGAUGUCUGUUGCUAGCACUGGGUUUGACUGAUGCAGACGAAAUGGUUUUCUUUACCCCGUCUUGAAACACGGACCAAGGAGUCUAACAUAUGUGCGAGUACAGGGGUGUCAAACCCCGGUGCGUAAUGAAAGUGACAGUGGUUGGAUAUUUUGCACAAUCCGCCG